CCUAGCGUUCCGCUUCCCUCAGCACCAGCACACAACCACCUACCUUUUUGGAAGCCCCUUCUCCUGAUGGUGGGCCACUCCCUCCCUUCUCCCAGGAAAGCAGUUCCACUGUGGUCCCCGCUAGCUCCUGCCACCAUGAACAAACCUUGCAUUCUCUUCCCUGCCACUUGGAAUCACAGUGACCCUCUUCAUUGAGGUCAUAUUUCCCCCUCCAGAUCUUUUCACAUGCUCUUCCCUUUUCCUAGAAUUCUCUUCUGCUGUCUCCUUGUUUUGAGUAACAUCACACAUUCUUCAUGUUUUAGUUUAAAUAUCACUUCCUCUGGCUACAUCCCCUUUGCUAUUUACUCCUGUAGCCAAAGCUAUAAUUACAGUGCUCGAUUAAAUGUUUAUCUCCUCCCAAACUGUGGGUUCUGCAAGGAGAAUGACAAUGUCUGGGUUUGGUUUUGCUCCCCCCUGCCCCACCUCUUCUCCUUCUCCUCCUCCUUCUUCGUCUUCUGCAAAUGAUGAUGAAAUGAGCAUCUUUUAUGCUUGAUUAUUUGUCCCUAUUUUGUAACUUUUAAGUUACUUUCUGAUGACAAAUUCUUGGAAGUAAAAUUACUAGGCCAAAGAAUAUAAACAUCUUGGAGUCUCUUGAGCUUCCUUACAUGACGCUUAAACUUGUAGCACUGUCUUCACCACCAGCAAAUAAGAGACGAUUCAGCUGUUGCCUUCCUGGCAUGUAUGAAAUUAUGUUUCUUCAUCCAGGUUCAUGUGUACCUGAGUGGGUGCAUCAUGAGCAAGUGUAGCUGGGUCUUGUCCACUGGGAAUUUAAUUUAUAUCUGGCAGGAGGGGAG
rnacentral:lncRNA from 1 species